AGUUAAAAAGCUCGUAGUCGGAUUUCAGUAUUAGGCCCUUCUUCCAAUACGGUUGCUAGUGGUCUUUACUUCCUUAACAGAAUCUUUCAUCUCAUUAAUUUGGGGUGUUUGGGGCCUGUUUCUUUUACUUUGAGAAAAUUAGAGUGUUCAAAGCGGGUUUUCGCCUGGAUAUUACUCUUGGAAUAAUAAUAUAGGACUUUGGUUCUUUUUUGUUGGUGACUUAGAACCGAAGUAAUGAUUGAUAGGGACAGUUGGGGUCAUUCGUACUAUGAAGCGAGAGGUGAAAUUCAUGGACCUUUGUAUGACGAACUACUGCGAAAGCAUUUGACUAGGAUGUUCCCGUUGAUCAAGAACGAAAGUUGGGGGAUCGAAGACGAUCAGAUACCGUCG
rnacentral:rRNA from 1 species